UCGGUGUCAGAUAUUGGGCGUAAGGGCUCGCAGGCGGUUUCUUAAGUCUGAUGUGAAAGCCCCCGGCUCAACCGGGGAGGGUCAUUGGAAACUGGGAAACUUGAGUGCAGAAGAGGAGAGUGGAAUUCCACGUGUAGCGGUGAAAUGCGUAGAGAUGUGGAGGAACACCAGUGGCGAAGGCGACUCUCUGGUCUGUAACUGACGCUGAGGAGCGAAAGCGUGGGGAGCGAACAGGAUUAGAUACCCUGGUAGUCCACGCCGUAAACGAUGAGUGCUAAGUGUUAGGGGGUUUCCGCCCCUUAGUGCUGCAGCUAACGCAUUAAGCACUCCGCCUGGGGAGUACGGUCGCAAGACUGAAACUCAAAGGAAUUGACGGGGGCCCGCACAAGCGGUGGAGCAUGUGGUUUAAUUCGAAGCAACGCGAAGAACCUUACCAGGUCUUGACAUCCUCUGACAACCCUAGAGAUAGGGCUUUCCCUUCGGGGACAGAGUGACAGGUGGUGCAUGGUUGUCGUCAGCUCGUGUCGUGAGAUGUUGGGUUAAGUCCCGCAACGAGCGCAACCCUUGAUCUUAGUUGCCAGCAUUUAGUUGGGCACUCUAAGGUGACUGCCGGUGACAAACCGGAGGAAGGUGGGGGAUGACGUCAAAUCAUCAUGCCCCUUAUGACCUGGGCUACACACGUGCUACAAUGGACAGGA
rnacentral:rRNA from 1 species